GUGUGAGGGCACUCUGGUUGUGCCAUCUGCCACACUGUUGACCACCAGGGUUUAUUGGUUUACUCCAGUCAGCUAAGCAUGUGUCCCCUCUUCCCACCAUC
rnacentral:sRNA from 14 species